UACGUAGGGUGCAAGCGUUGUCCGGAAUUAUUGGGCGUAAAGAGCUCGUAGGCGGUCUGUCGCGUCUGCUGUGAAAACUCAGGGCUUAACCCUGAGCUUGCAGUGGGUACGGGUAGACUAGAGUGCGGUAGGGGAGACUGGAAUUCCUGGUGUAGCGGUGAAAUGCGCAGAUAUCAGGAGGAACACCGGUGGCGAAGGCGGGUCUCUGGGCCGUAACUGACGCUGAGGAGCGAAAGCGUGGGGAGCGAACAGG
rnacentral:rRNA from 1 species